rnacentral:tRNA from 1 species
GGGGAUUUAGCUCAGCAGCAUAAGCACCUGCCUUACAAGCAGGCAGGCGGUCGUGAGUUUCGAUCCCCA